CCUACGGGAGGCAGCAGUGGGGAAUAUUGGGCAAUGGGCGCAAGCCUGACCCAGCAACGCCGCGUGAAGGAAGAAGGCUUUCGGGUUGUAAACUUCUGGUAUGAGGGACGAAGAAAGUGACGGUAACUCAGGAAUAAGCUACGGCUAACUACGUGCCAGCAGCCGCGGUAAUACGUAGGUGGCAAGCGUUAUCCGGAUUUAUUGGGUGUAAAGGGCGUGUAGGCGGGAAAGCAAGUCAGAUGUGAAAACUCAGGGCUCAACCCUGAGCCUGCAUUUGAAACUGUUUUUCUUGAGUGCUGGAGAGGCAAUCGGAAUUCCGUGUGUAGCGGUGAAAUGCGUAGAUAUACGGAGGAACACCAGUGGCGAAGGCGGAUUGCUGGACAGUAACUGACGCUGAGGCGCGAAAGCGUGGGGAGCAAACAGGAUUAGAUACCCGAGUAGUG
rnacentral:rRNA from 1 species